ensembl:rRNA 5S_rRNA 5S ribosomal RNA
GUCUACGGCCAUACCACCCUGAACACGCCCGAUCUCGUCUGAUCUCGGAAGCUAAGCAGGGUCGGGCCUGGUUAGUACUUGGAUGGGAAACAAACGAAAAGAAUAUUUCAUCCUGCCAGUCC